rnacentral:rRNA from 1 species
GAUGAACGCUGGCGGCGUGCCUAAUACAUGCAAGUCGAGCGAACUUUUGGGAGCUUUCUCCCAAAAGUUAGCGGCGGACGGGUGAGUAACACGUGGGUAACCUGCCUGUAAGACUGUGAUAACUUCGGGAAACCGGAGCUAAUACCGGAUAACAUUUAAGACCACAUGUCCUUCAAUUAAAAGGUGGCUUUUAGCUACCACUUACAGAUGGACCCGCGGCGCAUUAGCUAGUUGGUGAGGUAACGGCUCACCAAGGCGACGAUGCGUAGCCGACCUGAGAGGGGGAUCGGCCAAACUGGGAAGGGGACAAGGCCCAGAAUAAUAAGGGAGGCAGCAGGAGGGAAAAUUCCGCAAUGGACGAAAGUCUGACGGAGCAACGCCGGGUGAGCGAAGAAGGGCUUCGGGUCGGAAAGAUCUGUUGUUAGGGAAGAACAAGAAGCGUUCGAAUAGGGCGGUAACUUGACGGUACCUAACCAGAAAGCCACGGCUAACUACGUG